rnacentral:rRNA from 1 species
GUGCCAGCCGCCGCGGUAACACGGGGGGAGCAAGCGUUGUUCGGAAUCACUGGGCGUAAAGGGCGUGUAGGCGGUCAGGUAAGUGGGACGUGAAAUGCCUCGGCUCACCCGAGGAGCGGCGUCCCAUACUGCUUGGCUUGAGUACGGGAGAGGAUGUGGGAAUUCCUGGUGUAGCGGUGAAAUGCGUAGAUAUCAGGAGGAACACCGGUGGCGAAGGCGCACAUCUGGCCCGAUACUGACGCUGAGGCGCGAAAGCUAGGGGAGCAAACGGGAUUAGAUACCCUCGUAGUCC